rnacentral:lncRNA from 1 species
CUCAAUCUGGUGGGAGUAUUUUACAGAACACUUUAAGAACAGAAAAUUAGGUAUAAAAUGACAAAUUGAGCAUGUAGGUCUACCAUCCCCUCCACCAAGUCCCAAUAAACAUAUAUAUACAUACUAUUGAUAGCAUAAUAGUACUGGAAAAUAAGAAAGAAAGCAGGCAGUGCUUGAGGAUUUUAAGGAAAUCUUGGAAGACUGGAAUGAGAAUUAUGAAGAAAAACAAGAAGAGUGAUCCACUGGCCAAAAGUAGCAGAAUAAGGUAAGUCUUAUUAGAAAUAGCCUAGAGACGCUCCAAAUUUAGAGUCAAUACAGAGAGAGCCAGUGUAGGCCAGAGUGCAGUCACAGAGAUUGAGCCCAGCUGGCACCAUUUCCUCCCUCUCCCGGGCAUUCAGAGAUUGUGGUGGCUGACCAUUUCUUUUCUGCAAAAAGUGAGCCAACAGGUGAAGAUGAUUCUGUGUCAUUGUAGGAGAGGAACAAAUCUAGAUAGAAGUAAUGCUGCACCCUCAAGUAAACACGGAGUGGAAUGUGAAAGAAAAAUUAUUACCAGAAGAGAAAUUUACUAAAAUUCUGCACUGCCAGAGAGUCGCCAUCCUUUCCGUCUACCUUGCACUCACAUACUCCAUAAUAUACACAUAGCCUGCCAUUUGCCUUUCCAUUUAAGGAAGAAUUCUGUUAGGGUAAAAGACCUAAAAUGACUGCAGAGGAAAAAUAUAUUAAUAGGUAUACUAACCAACAAAUAGCCACAAACCAAUAACCAAGUAUUUCCAAUGUGGAGCAAAACCAAAAAUAGGAAGGAGAAGGCAAAGAUCAAAGAAUGGGACAACUGAUGCCAGAGGAACACAGAUAACCAAAGAUAGAGAAGAUGAUUCUAAAAAAAUUUUAAUUAAGAUUACUACAAAAAUUUUAAUUAUGAUUAACAAGGAGAAAUGUGAGAAUAGUUCGAUAUUCAAAUGAGAAUGUAUUACUUGGAACAAAGAGAACUCAGAAUAAGAAUUAUUUAAUCAACUUAAAAUUAUAAUUGUUAAAAGUUCAUAGGUAGACUGAGUAAUGUGAAAGAUAGUAUUAAAGCUAAAACAAAUGAUUUGGAAAAUAAGGUCAAGGAACUCUCUUCCCAAAAAUAUAAAUAAUAUCUGAAAAUAUUUAAGAUGGUAGAAGGAAGAUACAGCAGAUUCAACCUCUAUAUAACAUGAUCUUUAAUGACAGAGAAACAAUGGAAAAGAGAAAAUGAUCAAAGAAAUAGUAGAAAAAAAUUAUUCAUUCAAAAAAUAUAUAUAUACAGAUUUUUGGUCCACUGUGUACUAAAUAGGGUAAAUUAAAUUAAAAAAUAAUGUAGCACAGAAUGAAGGAAUUUCAAGACUAUUGCAGUAGAAAGUGGAGAUUGAACUCAAAUCCACUGAAACAAAAGGUGAAAGUGAGAGCUUUAAGCACUGGAGUGAGUUGAAAAGUACUGGAAGAUAUUAGGGAGGAGGUUGUUAAAUAUGAUUAGGACAUUUGUGUUUGCUAAUUGUUGUUUAUGGAAGUUAUGCAGCCACUUGCCCAUAGCCACUGGGACAUAGGAGUGCUUUCUCCUUUGAUGAUUACAUUUCAAAGGGAUAGCCUCAGGUCAUUGAGAAAGACAUUCUUGGGUUGUAAAACUGGAAAGAGGCUGGGAGAAGAUUUACAUGUCAAAGAGGUAGAGAAAGAAUUUACAACUGCAAGUUCUCUAUGUGAGUGAUCUGAGAAAAGGGAAGUCAAGUGCCUAAAUCAGAAAGAAACUUGUGAUCUUUAAUACCAGUAAGGAAGGGAGAGAGAGAAGGAAGGAAGGAAGGAAGAAAAGAAAAAGAAGGAAGAAAAGAAAAGGAAGGAAGGAAGGAGGGAAAGAAAGAAAGAAAAAAAGAAAGAAAGAAAGGAAAAGAAAAAAAGAAAAGAAAGGAAGGAAGGAAAGAAGAAGGGAAGAAAGGAAGAAAAGGAAGGAAGGAAAGAAGGAAGGGGAAGAAAGGACGGAACAAAGGAAGGAAGGAAUGAAAGAAGGUAGGAAGAAAGGAAGGAGAGAAGAAAAAAGGGAAGGAAGGAUAAAAAAGGGCAGGAAGGAAGGAAAAAAAGAAGGAAAAAAGGAAGGAAGAAGGAAAGACCUGUCAAAAGUCUAGUCAAUCUGAGGGGAAUGUUAAGACCAAGCUUGUCCAACCUGCAACCUGUGGGCCACAUGCAUCCCAAGACUGCUUUGAAUGCAGCCCAAAACAAAUUCAUAAACUUUCUUAAAACAUUAUGAGAUUUUUUGUGACUUUUUUUUCUUUAACUCAUCAGCUGUUGUUAGCGUUAGUGUAUUUUAUGUGUGGUCCAAGACAAUUCUUCCGUGUGGCUCAGGGAGCCCAAAAUAUUGGACACCCCUGGUUAAGACCAUCUUGGUCACCACCAUGCAUACCAGGUGGGCACGGGUUAAAAGUUUCCUGAUGGAAUGCAAGCUGCCUCUCAUUAAAUUUCGAUAAAACAUCUAUAUUAAUUUUCUAUUGUUCUUGUAACACAUUUCCACAAACAUCUCCAUUUUGGAAGGUCACCUAUCUCACUGGUGGGAAAACCAAGGUGUCCACACCUUGAAGGAAUCAGAAGGCUGAUUCCUUCUGGAGGCUCUAGGGAAAAAUCAGUCAUUUGUCUUUUCCAGAUUCAUAUACCUUCCUUGGCUUGUUCUUUCUUCUUCCAUUUUCAAAGCCAGUAAUAUAGCAUCUUCUCUCCUCUCUGAGCUCUGAUUUCAUUGUCACAUCUCCUUUGACUUUGACCUUCUUGACUCCCUCUUUAGGAACCAUUUUAUCCUCUUUGUUGAGCCCAUCCAGAUAAUCCAAGAUAAUCUCCUCAUCUGAAGAUCCUGAAUUUAAUUUAUCUCCACAAUGGCUUUUGCCAUGUAAUGUGGCAUAUCCAAAGGCUUUAAGGACUAGGAUGGGGACGUCUUUAGGGGGCCAUUAUUCCACCUACCACUACUUCGUAGGCUGCUAACUUGUUUGCUGCUGUCAGUUCGGGACCCCUAUCUUAAAACUCUUUGUCUGUUCCCACCCUAUCCACAGGCCCAGGAAAGAGUCCUGGGAAAUAGGAUUUGCAUAUACAUGUGUACAUGAGCACAAACAACAAGGUCAUUCGCACA